rnacentral:rRNA from 1 species
UACGAGGGGGGCAAAUGUUGUUCGGAAUCACUGGGCGUAAAGGGAGCGUAGGCGGGUUCUUAAGUAAGGUGUUUAAUCCCGGGGCCCAACCCCGGACCGGCACUUUAAACUGGGAAUCUUGAAUAGUGGAGAGGUCGGUGGAAUUGGGGGUGUAGCGGUGGAAUGCGUAGAGAUCCCCAAGAACACCAGUGGCGAAGGCGGACUCACUGGCCCGGUACUGACGCUGAGGCGCGAAAGCGUGGGGAGCAAACAGG